rnacentral:rRNA from 1 species
CCGGCGACCGGCGCACGGUGAGUAACACGUAAUGGAACCUGCCCGCAGCAGGGGAUAAGCGGAAGAAAUUCCGUCUAAUACCGCGUAACAACGUUGGAGGCAUCUCCCGAUGUUUAAAGAUUUAUCGGCUGCGGAUGGCCAUGCGGCGCAUUAGCUAGUCGGCGGGGUAACGGCCCACCGAGGCGACGAUGCGUAGGGGUUCUGAGAGGAAGGUCCCCCCACACUGGUACUGAGACACGGACCAGACUCCUACGGAAGGCAGCAG